GGAUAGCUCAGUUGGUUAGAGCAUGGUACUGAUAAUGCCAUGGUUGUGGGUUUGAUCCUUGCAUGGAACA
rnacentral:tRNA from 1 species